rnacentral:rRNA from 1 species
AGUGAACGCUGGCGGCAGGCCUAAUACAUGCAAGUCGAACGGCAGCACAGCAGAGCUUGCUCUGUGGGUGGCGAGUGGCGGACGGGUGAGGAAUACAUGGGAAUCUGCCCAGUCGUGGGGGAUAACGUAUGGAAACGUACGCUAAUACCGCAUGCGCCCUACGGGGGAAAGCCGGGGACCGCAAGGCCUGGCGCGAUUGGAUGAGCCCAUGUUCGAUUAGCUAGUUGGCGGGGUAAAGGCCCACCAAGGCGACGAUCGAUAGCUGGUCUGAGAGGAUGAUCAGCCACACUGGAACUGAGACACGGUCCAGACUCCUACGGGAGGCAGCAGUAGGGAAUAUUGGACAAUGGGGGCAACCCUGAUCCAGCCAUGCCGCGUGAGUGAAGAAGG